rnacentral:rRNA from 1 species
GCUUGCUGGGUGGAUCAGUGGCGAACGGGUGAGUAACACGUGAGCAACCUGCCCCUGACUCUGGGAUAAGCGCUGGAAACGGCGUCUAAUACUGGAUAUGUGACGUGACCGCAUGGUCUGCGUCUGGAAAGAAUUUCGGUUGGGGAUGGGCUCGCGGCCUAUCAGCUUGUUGGUGAGGUAAUGGCUCACCAAGGCGUCGACGGGUAGCCGGCCUGAGAGGGUGACCGGCCACACUGGGACUGAGACACGGCCCAGACUCCUACGGGAGGCAGCAGUGGGGAAUAUUGCACAAUGGGCGCAAGCCUGAUGCAGCAACGCCGCGUGAGGGACGACGGCCUUCGGGUUGUAAACCUCUUUUAGCAGGGAAGAAGCGAAAGUGACGGUACCUGCAGAAAAAGCGCCGGCUAACUACGUGCCAGCAGCCGCGGUAAUACGUAGGGCGCAAGCGUUAUCCGGAAUUAUUGGGCGUAAAGAGCUCGUAGGCGGUUUGUCGCGUCUGCUGUGAAAUCCGGAGGCUCAACCUCCGGCCUGCAGUGGGUACGGGCAGACUAGAGUGCGGUAGGGGAGAUUGGAAUUCCUGGUGUAGCGGUGGAAUGCGCAGAUAUCAGGAGGAACACCGAUGGCGAAGGCAGAUCUCUGGGCCGUAACUGACGCUGAGGAGCGAAAGGGU